GGGAGACACGGAGCAGGCCGUGAGGCGUGAGGCGAGCGCGGAAAGUGCAGCCCCGGAAGCGGAGUCCGAGUAAAUGGGGUCACGGUCACUGAGGAGGGCUCUGGGUGCUGGCCAGGUCUUCAGAAUGUCCUCCGUGGUCUGUGGAGCGGCCACUGCAGGGUCUGGAGCAAACAGACGGGAGCAGACUGGAGAAGGUCAGCGGUGCAAGCACACUUUGCCGAAAGGGGAAGAUGUGUGACCCCUGAAAAGGCGGAGGACUGGAUGGACACCCUGUCUGAACAGGAAGCCGGAAUCCAGGCCCUUUCUUGUUGAAGAGCAUCUGGUCUACACGGAAGAGACUGUGAUCCCUCUGCCAAACGCCUGAGCCGGUGACUGUUGCUACCUCAGGGGUCAGCUUGUUUGACUGUGGUGGUUAUCAUCUGUCUCUAGCCGGCAUCACUCUCUGACCACUCUUGUGCACUUGUCCUUCCGCCCGGCCGAACUUCACUCCUAGGAUGUUUCUGCCGUGCUCCUCCCUGGGGUGCUGACUGAGGUGCUGCCUGCUGCUGCUGGGACGGCUCGACCAUGACUUUCUGGGCCGUCGCCUCCCUGGGGCUCAAGGAAACCCUUCCAGUUUCCCUUUCUCUCGCCCGUCGUGGCGAACCUUCUUGAAAGAAUCAUCUGCACUGCCUGGCUGGCUGGGCCGCCCUCCAUCACCCGUUGCAAUCUGCCUUCUGUUCUCAGGAUCAGUGCCCAGACUGAAGUCACUAGAGAGAGCCAUACUCCAGGUCCGGACAGUGCUUUUCCUCCCUGCUCUGACUCCCUCUUUCUGGGAGCAGAGGUGUGUCGGAGGCGUGACAGCAGCAGCCCGAGUGGCUGGCACCCGGGGAGUGAACGUGGAGAGGAGCUGGGAAGGUAGACAAGAAGUGGAUCGGGAAGGGUGCGUGAUGCCUGAAGGAGUGCGAACUUCAUCCAGGGUCCGAGCAGGGCUCCCUGGGCCGUCCUGCCGGGGCUGUCUGCUCAGAGCCCCCUCCCGCUCCUCAGUGCUCCCCAAACGCUUGGACAGGGAGUUGCUUUGGUGACUCCUCCUCCCUCCCGCCUGGGGCUAACUCCCAGCUGUCAAGUCAGCUCGUGCGGACCUCCAGACCAUAACUGCCUGGUCCUGUCAUCACAGUGUCACGAACCUCUCUCCACACUGGCAGUUCUGAGGCUUAAGUGUGUUGCCAGCACACAGAAGGUGCUCUAUAAAUGGCCAAAGAAGCCCAUCUUUUUUUUUUUUUAAUUCAGUCCAGUUCAGUCACUCAGUCGUGUCCGACUCUCCGCGACCCCAUGAAUCACAGCACGCCAGGCCUCCCUGUCCAUCACCAACUCCCGGAGUUCACUCAGACUCACGUCCAUCGAGUUGGUGAUGCCAUCCAGCCAUCUCAUCCUCUGUCGUCCCUUUCUCCUCCUGCCCCAAACCCCUCCCAGCAUCAGUUUUUUAAAUUAAUGAAUUCGUUUACGGCUGCACCCUGCCCUAGUUGUGGCUCUCUGGGUCUUCUGCGGCAGUGGGUGGGCUUCUCUCUCAGUGAGGCACCUGGACUCAGCCUCUGUGAAUUGUUACCCUGUGGCACGUGGACUCACUUCCCCACCCAGGGAUCAAACCCACACCCUCUGCCCUGGAGGCAGCUUCCCAACCGCUGGACCCUCAGGGAAGUCCCAACCCACCAUUUUUUUCAGAAACCUUUAACUCUUAUAAAGCCCAGCACACUAAGUGAAGGUGCCUUGUAACAACUCUUCUGGGUGUCUUUGAUUUUUAAAUAGAGGCAUCAUUUGGCUUUAAUAACCAGACGUUCAGGAACGGCACAUCCAGCUGACCCAGGACGCAACAGCAGCCCUGACUAGCGCACUCCCCGGGGUCAAGCACAGGGACGCGCCCGGGCCCUUCUCACAGCUGCUUCCUCUGGACUCCGGGGUCCUGCACUCGCGCGUGAUUGCAUUUGACUCAGGGUUCACAUACAGCGGGACUUAAGGCCCAAGGUUGGAACUGGGGUCCCGGUGCGGGUAGCUGAGUAUUGAUUUGAGGCGGAUUCGACUUUCUGCCAACAGCCUGGCUUUCCUCAGCCGGGAGUACCCUGAGGCUGGACAAAGUGCUGCCGGAAGGGAAC
ensembl:lncRNA